GCACAAGCGGUGGAGCAUGUGGUUUAAUUCGACGCAACGCGCAGAACCUUACCAGCCCUUGACAUCCCGGUCGCGGACUCCAGAGACGGAGUCCUUCAGUUCGGCUGGACCGGAGACAGGUGCUGCAUGGCUGUCGUCAGCUCGUGUCGUGAGAUGUUGGGUUAAGUCCCGCAACGAGCGCAACCCCCGUCCUUAGUUGCUACCAUUUAGUUGAGCACUCUAAGGAGACUGCCGGUGAUAAGCCGCGAGGAAGGUGGGGAUGACGUCAAGUCCUCAUGGCCCUUACGGGCUGGGCUACACACGUGCUACAAUGGCGGUGACAGUGGGAUGCGACGGAGCAAUCCUGAGCAAAUCUCAAAAAGCCGUCUCAGUUCGGAUUGUGCUCUGCAACUCGAGCACAUGAAGUUGGAAUCGCUAGUAAUCGCAGAUCAGCACGCUGCGGUGAAUACGUUCCCGGGC
rnacentral:rRNA from 1 species